ACCUCAAUCAUCUGGAAGGGAGAAGAUUGUAUAACAACAGUUGCAUACCAAAUUUGAAAUCAUUGGUAACAGGUACACUCUUUACCCUAUUUUCUUCUCUUUUCUCUAGAAACCUUCUAUUCUUUCAUUCAAUCUCUGUUAAUUUUGUCUUUUGAAUCUCUCUUUUUAUUUCAUCAUUAAGGGAAUAUCACUAUCUCUUUCAACAGGUUCUCCUCCUUGACUUCCAUCACUUGCUUACUCUCUUUUAACAGGUACAUUCUUUAUUUUUAGUUUUGCAUUCUAUUUUGUUUUACAACAAGUGAAAUAAGAUGAUUACACAUGCUCUGAUCGUUCGCAUUAUAUUAAUGCCUAACAACAUAAAUAUAUAUUAAGUCAUGAUUCAUGAAGUAAGAGCCAAUUAGAUUUUUGAAUCAUCAAGGCUGCUCAAAUAUUUACAAGUUAAAAUUUCGAAUAGUUGUCUUAUAUUCAUCUCUGGAAUUAUUUAAGAGAUGAAUGCUUAAAUAUUUACGAGUUAAAAUUUCGAAUAGUUGUCUUAUAUUCAUCUCUGCAAUUAUUUAAGAGAUGAACAUUGUUCAAUUUAUCCAUCUCUCUAUACAAAUGGAAUUUUCCAUCUGAAUCCAAUGUCGCCCUGUACACAAGAGUAUAAUAAAUAUCCUCGCUCUUCGACCAACGAUCAACGCUCACAUUCUGGAUGACUAUAUCAUUCCAAUCAGGAGAUAGAGAUUACUAUUCCAGUCUAACUUUAAGGCAACAUGAUCUGAUUGACCUGAGUAGUCUUCCAAAUGUUCUUUAAAGUUGCUACCUUUAUCAGCCCUGUCAUGAAUUACAACUGUGGUAUCUCGGUGAAUAUCAAUGCUGUAACCAUGUUCCCAUUUUCCAUAUAGCUUAUGCUGUUUCAUCAUGCAAGGAACUUCAUUACUGAAACAUAUAGCUGGUCUUGCAGAAACCUAUAUUUUAGGUGUGGGUUCUAUUUUUGUAUUAACAUUUAUAAGCGUAAUGUUAAGCCACUGAUCACUACCCUCCUUAAUUUGCUCAUAAUGUUUAUCCUUGCGCCUUCACAACGGUUCAACCAUUUCAUGUGUUAAGGAAUAAUAUUAGGUCUACAUUAUCAACAUCCUGUGUAUUACUCCUGGAGACCUAUGACUUGGUUUAAAGGGGAAAUGGGAUAGCUUAAAUUAUAUGGAAGCUUAAAUCACUGCUUUCUAUUUUGAUGACAAUAACCUAGAUUGUUUGAAACAGGAUAGCUUGAAUUACAUGUAAAACAAUAUAUUGAUAUGAAACAGCAUAUACAAAGCCAAACCAUGUACAUUCCUACAUUAAUUGUUUCAUAUACAGAACCUAUACUUCCCUAUAGAUCCACCUAGGGGGGUGGGAAAUAAGCUAAAGAUACAACAUGAUUGCUAACAAUUAUGACAUAUUGGUUGUUAACCCCUUUCUUUUUGAUGCAGGUAAACAUCCAAGGUUUGGCGAGAUAAUCAGUAUACAAGCAAGGUAUGAUCAUAUUCAUCUACAUUCUUAUCCGAUGAACAUGCGCGCACAUUAGCUCUCUUUUUACUGUCCUUGUUUUGACUGUGACAAGCUGUUUUUCUGUAAACAGCACAGGUUGAAGGUGGUGUACAUGAUUUGGUUUACCACCAGAAAAAUCUGUCUGGCAGCACGAACCCCACAAGCGAGAAGGUAUUUUUUCUAUGAAUCACGUUAUUGAGCUCUUUAAGAUUUAGUUUGAUAUUUAACACAUCAAGAGUAGAGAUAAACCAUAAAUAGAAGUUAUGUGUUAUCUUCAUGGCUUUAGUAAUGGUUUACACAUCUACACUCUCCCUAGCCAAAGGUCUUAAAUUAACAUGGAUCCACAUUCCCCUGAUUGGUUCUAUACUUCCUGCAACUCAAGUCCGAGGCCACUUUAUUUAUUUUUUUGUUGUACUAUGCUCUUUAGUCUUUACAGAGUACUACAAGUUUUAACUAUUCUUCUUUUGAUUGGUUAGAAUUAGAAACUUGUGAAGCUAUUCUGUUAAUUGGUUUUAUCUAUUAGUUGUUCAACUACUAAAUAAUAUAAUAGAAAGGAUCCAUUUCUUACACGAAACCAUGAUCAAUUUGUUUAAGAAUAAAAAGAUUCUUCAAACGCUAAUAACCAGAGAAAUCAUUUUAUAAUCUGGUUGUAGAUUCACCAUGCUCAAUCUACAUUUGCCGAGUUUAUCCAUUUAUUUGGAGAUAAACUCUACUUUUGCCGAGUUAAUAUACUAAUUCGAGUUAAACUCUAUUCUCUUUCUUUUUCGAUUGUAAUUCUUGUUUCCUGGAUUUGUUUUACAUUGCUCUAAGCAAUGGUGGUUGUUAAAUUUAUGCUAAAAAUGUUCAUUGAAUUUGACUACAGUUGUUGUAUGAUAAUCAAAUGGGUUUAACCACAUUUGAAGGGUGUUUUUGUGUUGAAUUUGACCACAAUUGUGGGUUCACUUUGAAAGAGACAACAAAUACCACGAAUUUUUUUUUAUUGCUUCCUUGAACAUUUCAUAGUAUGAAUUCAGUCAUAGAAGGGGUGUUUAGUAGAAGUGUAGAGUCCCACUGCGUAAAAGUAUAAUUUAAAUUUUAUUGUUAUUUCAUUAAUUGUUAAAACAAAAGAUCAGGAAACUUUUGCUUACUUAUAAAUUAAAGAUCAAUAUUAUUGUUACUUUUACAGGUAAGCUAUAUUUGUCAUUUGAUAUAGGUAUUUACGAGAAUACUUUUUCAUACAGGUACCCUCGUCUGUUUUCUUCAUCAACUUCUGCCACAUAACCAAUAGAAUCUCAUUUGCUAGCGUUUCAGGUAUUUUACUGGUUGUCUUCUAAAUU
rnacentral:lncRNA from 1 species